AGAGUUUGAUCCUGGCUCAGAGUGAACGCUGGCGGCAGGCCUAAUACAUGCAAGUCGAACGGCAGCACAGCAGAGCUUGCUCUGUGGGUGGCGAGUGGCGGACGGGUGAGGAAUACGUGGGAAUCUGCCCAGUCGUGGGGGAUAACGUAGGGAAACUUACGCUAAUACCGCAUGCGCCCUUCGGGGGGAAAAGCCCGGGGGACCUUCGGGCCUGGCGCGAUUGGAUGAGCCCACGUCGGAUUAGCUAGUUGGCGGGGUAAAGGCCCACCAAGGCGACGAUCCGUAGCUGGUCUGAGAGGAUGAUCAGCCACACUGGAACUGAGACACGGUCCAGACUCCUACGGGAGGCAGCAGUAGGGAAUAUUGGACAAUGGGCGCAAGCCUGAUCCAGCCAUGCCGCGUGAGUGAAGAAGGCCCUCGGGUUGUAAAGCUCUUUUGUCCGGAAAGAAAAGCGCCGGGUUAAUACCCUGGUGUCCUGACGGUACCGGAAGAAUAAGCACCGGCUAACUUCGUG
rnacentral:rRNA from 1 species